UCCCUACAAUAAACUGACCGUAUUGACGUUUGGAGCCACUUAUCAGCCAUUACUUAUACACAGUAAACCAUUCGUAUCUUAUCAUGUCAUAAUUUCUAUAACACAAUUUAUCACAAGUAUAGAUCAAAUUUAAAUGAUUAAACAAUGUCUUCUUUUAUGAACGUAAGAUAUAGAGGGAAAUUUAUAGUGUAUCUGCACGCGACGAUUAAUCUUUGCUAACGAAAAACGAUUCCGUGUUUUAAAUGGCCGCAAUAUUUACGAUUUCAAAAUAAUAAAUUUCGUAUUGUAUUUUCCGUUUUUCCUAC